GACACCACACUUUGCUACGCUGUAUUCCCUCCUACUUCUUUGCCCACUCCUUCUGAGCGUAGCUGCUUUUUCAACACUACCUGUCCCUCCACCCAUCUUCGUAUCAUCUGCAAAGAUGGCCACAAAGCCUUCCAUUCCCUCAUCUACAUCAUUAAUAAACAACAUGAAGAAUAGCGGCCCCAACAGCGUCCGCAAGUCACUUGCAGCCAACCAGAAAA